rnacentral:rRNA from 1 species
AUGUGCAUGGAGAAGUACACGGAACGUGUGCCCCUACUAGUGCCACUCUCGAUACUUCUCCUUGUUUGCUUUGGUGCUCAUGUUCAAUGUGGGAGUAUCGAAGACAUAGGUAACAGGAAGAUCAAUCUACCAUAUGGAUUGUGCGGACCACCUAGAAUAAUUCCAAAAUGCAAUGAUGGCUAUUGUUGGUGUUGUUUUGCGGAUCCCAAAUACUAUUGCUAUCGCACGCCUGAAGAAUGUGAUAAGGAAUGCCGCAAACAUUCUUCACUAAACAUUGUGGCGGCCGCGCCCGCCUCCUCCACCCUCCCACCAAACUGA